UACGGGGGGGGCAAGCGUUGUUCGGAAUUACUGGGCGUAAAGGGCUCGUAGGCGGCCAACUAAGUCGGAUGUGAAAUCCCCAGGCUUAACCUGGGAACUGCAUCCGAUACUGGAUGGCUUGAAUCCGGGAGAGGGAUGCAGAAUUCCAGGUGUAGCGGUGAAAUGCGUAGAGAUCAUGAGGAAGACCAGUGGCGAAGGCGGGUCUCUGGACAGUUCCUGACACUGAGACACGAAGGCCAGGGGAGCAAACGGG
rnacentral:rRNA from 1 species